UUGAGAAAAAGAUGAAAGCUUUCAGAUCUCUACGAAUACUUAUUUCCACCUCACGAACAGCUACGACACCUCGCUGUAAACCCCAUCUCACUCACACCUUCCUCCGCAGGUUCUACUCGGCGCAGCCGAACCUAGACGAACCCACCUCCGUCAACGGAGACGAACCCACCGGCGACUCCGUUUUCGAUAGCAGUCAAUACUCAAUCCCUGGAACCGAAGAUUCCUCGAAAAAGCAAAAGCAACCUAAUUGGGAUAAAGGGUACAGGGAAAGGGUACAGAGGGAGCUGUUUCCGGAAGAGAAAGGUAAAUCGAAAUCU
rnacentral:lncRNA from 1 species